CCAGCAGAGUUUGGGCUGUGGGCGAGGUGACACUUCCUGCCCUGGGGGCUGGGGUGAGAGGAAAGAUGGGUUGCUGAGUGUGCACACCUUUGAGAGCACACUCACACACACCCUGCUCCGGGGCUCCCUUCUUAGGUUGCCCCCAUGGAGUUCCCCCUGACCCAGAUAUGCCCCCAAGGGAGUCGUGAAACCCCUGCCCCAACCUUCAGCACCUUCCAGCCCUUGAACUUGACCAGCAGGAGCUGCCAGGGCCUGGGCUCACUUCCGGGGCCCAGAUUCCAGGCCCCGAAGGCAGAGGAAGCCCAGCCCAGCCCCAGGGCCCCGGCUGUCCAUGCUGUGGCCCUGGGGGCUUUCUCAAACCCAGAGAAUGCUGGGAAGGCUGAGGAGGUGCCGAGGGAAGGAGGCCAGUCCCUGCAGGCCGAGAUCCUGGCUUGGUUCCAGAAGACCCAGGCCCACUGGCUCCUGCAGCACGGGGCGGCCCCUGCCUGGUUCCACGGCUUCAUCACCCGGAGGGAGGCAGAGAAGCUGCUGGAGACCAAGCCUGAGGGAUGCUACUUGGUGCGGUUCAGCGAGAGUGCUGUGACCUUUGUACUGACUUACAGGAGCCGGACUUGCUGCCGCCACUUCCUGCUGGCCCAGCUCGGGGAUGGGCGCCACGUGGUGCUGGGCGAGGACAGCGCCCACGCUCGGCUGCAGGACCUGCUGUGGCACUACAUGGCCUACCCGCUCAGCCCCUACGGGGAGACGCUCACCGAACCCCUCGCCCGCCAGACUCCUGAACCCGCAGGACUUUCCCUAAGGACUGAAGAAUCAGACUCUGGAAACAAAAGCCAGGACCCACACCCUCAGUAUAGCCCAAUCCUCAAAAAGGAGCAGACCGCAGCUUUCACGCAGAAAGACGGUCCCGGGGAGCCAAAUGAGCCCUUCCAGCCGCCCAGGCCUAAACCUCGUGUCCCCGCUAAACCUCAGCUGCCCCCCGAAGUCUACACAAGCCCGGCUCCGCGACCCCGCCCGGCCCCGCCCCCCAAGCCCUCCAACCCCAUCUACCAGGAGCCUGACGAGCCCAUAGCCUUCUACGCCAUGGGCCGGGGCAGCCCUGGGGAAGCCCCCAGCAACAUCUAUGCCGAGGUGGACGUGAACGUCGACGUGGAGGCGCCGGCAGUGGGGGAGGGCCCGCCGUCUCUCCUCCAGCACCUGGUCCUACGGAAGUGCCGGUCCAAGCCUGUCCCAGGAAGCCAGAAUCCAGGUGGCUGGCAACUGCAUUCUGAGAACUCUAUGGCAGGACACAGCCCUCCCGCACCCCACCAGCCCCAGCCCCGCUGGGGAAACACCCUCCCCAACAACCUUUCUAGACAGGUGCUUCAGGACAGAGGACAGACGUGGCUCCCCCUGGGGCCUCCACAGUAGUUGAACCUGCAACAACUGGAGUCAAGCAUCUCUGUCCAGUCAACACUCUGCCUGGCAACCAAGGCCUUUCUUCUUGCAGUUUCUCAAACACUCCCUUCCUGCAGGAAGCCACUGCAGAAAGGGAAGACCCUGAGAAAGCAAAGAAAUCCUCUCUUUGGGGAGCUAACAGGAUUUAAGCAGAACAGACUGAAGAAUCCUGGUCCUUCAUCUGCUAGAAUUAAAACUGAAAAGCUCAAGUGGAAAACGGACAAUGAGAACUAAAAUUUGGUAUCUGAAAGGAAGACAAAUCAGCUGCCUUGGAUACCCGACCAGCCAGGUCAGCCUCAAAGACUCGGACAAGUCCAAACAGGACACCACCCAACAAUAACUUAGUCUGGGGAUGCAGUUUUGCUGUUGUGCUGACUGCAGUGUAUGUGGGAGCCGAGAAACUCAUGCCAUUUUAAAGUACAAAUUGAAGCUGUGAAAAACUGACUGGAAGGCACCAGAAUUAUGACUUCCCCCUUCUGACGUCAACAACUCCUCGCCCUAUACUGCAUUCUGGGAAUGUACAAGCACCACCCUAGAAAACAGGCUCCUCACCCCCACCCAGUUACCUCCCACCUGCUCAUCUCCCCUGGCAUAAUGAGGUGGGGAGGGCUAAGAGUUUGGCUUUCAAACAAGACCCUACCCUCAACUUCUUCCCUACAAAUAACAAGAUAGGGUAAGGGUACAAAAGGAGUUCCUGAAAAGGAGGGUGAAAAUAUGACAACAACGACGAAAGCAAGAUUUGCCGCUGAAAUCAUCAACCAGCAUGUAUACUCCCCAGGGAAAAGGCCAGGAAAGAGUCUUACUUCUGUCUGUAUCUUUGACAGCAUUUAGUACAGUAGGUUUCAAAAAGAGGUUUAGGGGCCGGACCCAUGGCGUAGUGGUUAAGUUCGGUGUGCUCUGCAACAGCAGCCCAGGUUAGUGGGUUUGGAUGCCAGGCAUGGACCUACACCACUCAUCAGCCAUGCUGUGGCGGCAACCCACAUACAAAAUAGAGGACUGGCACCGAUGUUAGCUCAGGGCUAA